AUUGUCAGCUGUUCGCGUCAUGUAACUGUGAUAUCCACCAUGAGUCGGAAAAACAGACAAAUUUGAGUGGAUUUCGACUAAAGUUUGGAGAAUAAACAUACAUGGUAACGUAAGUAUUUUCAAUUCUUUGAAUAUUGGGCGGCAGUGGCUGGACGGCGGAACACCCCCAAGAACCCGAACCGCAGACUUCUGCAAUCUAAAGGCUCUCUCGGCCUCCGUCGCGUUCCCCCACAGUAGUAGACCAUAAGAUAAGAUACUAUGAAACAGUGCAAAAUAAACUAUACGGAGAGUGCUUUGCGAGAUCGAACCUCGCAGUUGUCUCAGAACAAAAACCUGAGAUGACAAUUUACCGCACAGGUAGUCUAUAUGAGGCGACCACGUUAAAAACGCAUCUAGGUAAACACCAAGGAGUUUGACCGGUUCAGAUUUUUUACUUCUUCGAUUGGUAUUGAAAAUUAGAGUCUUUGUUUUAUCGGAAUUUAAUUUAAGUUUAUUAGCAGAGAACCAGUGCUCAAUCAUAGAGAGUGUAGUGACAGCCUUUUUAUUUAAAUUAGUUAGAUCUUUCUCCGAUUCAAUCAAUGAUGUGUCAUCCGCAUAGAGUAUACUGCGAGCAGCAUUUGUUGCAAAUACUACAUCAUUGACAUAUAUUAUAAACAAAAGUGGACCAAGGAUGGAACCCUGAGGCACUCCAUUAGUAAUGUCCAACAGAGUGGAUUCCCGAUUAUUCCAGACAACAUACUGCUUUCUUCCGGUCAAAUAAGAUUUUAAAAGGGCUAAGGUAUUUUCACGAAUUCCGUAGUACUCAAGUUUAGACAGAAGUAUAUUAGUAUCCACGCAGUCGAAUGCCUUGGUGAGGUCGCACAUCGUUACCGAAGUCGACAGGCCCUCCUCAAACCCAUCAAUCACAUGCUCAAUCACUGUGUAUAAGGCACGGAUGGUGGACCUACCUGACCGAAAACCAAAUUGGGAAUCUGUUAACAAUUUCCUUCCCUCAAAGCCAAAGAUUCGGAUCAAGAAUCUUACUCGAAUCUACCUCCGGGAUGGUGACUUUAAAAGAAGAAUACUGUGUUGGAAAUCUUGAUUGUAGUUUGAACACCGACGCAUUGGUAGAUAGUUGAUUCAAAUAGACACUGAGAUCAUCCUCGGACGUUUGAGGGUCAAGUUUGGUAAUGUGAUACUGAUGGCUCUUCUGGACAGCUUUUAAUGAACAAACUGGAUUCUCCAUUGCACCGAUCAAGACAUUUGUGGACCUCGUGGCUCUAGGGGCCCUUGAAAACUGCUUAGAACUAUCCCCGGUAACGAGAUUUUGUACUUGGUUACAAAUAGUCGUCGCUUCAGCUUGUUGUAUCGCAACUGCCACAGCCUCAGGACUAAAUUUUGAAUUGUUGCUCCAGUUUACCAGGCACGUUUUGAUCAUGCAUCACUGAAAUGGUUUCUGCAGGCUGGACAGACUUCAACAAUCGUAUCUGAUCUGUCAAAGCUUCGAUUGCAAUAGCUUGAUUCUGAAUCGUUAGUUCCUGCUGUUUAAUAAUUUGUUCCAAAUAAUAGACUUUUAAUUUAUCU